AGGACUAUGUAGAUGUGCUGAGAAGUCGUUCACSGGUAUAACUAAAGUGAGAUGUGAUUGCAGACGGCGCGUGAUUGGGCUCUGGUAGGACUGGUCAGUGGCAACCUGACUUCACUCUGCUCGUCACCGGUGGAACAGCCAUGGCACAGGAAUGCCGAACUUGAGAGCAGCUGUGGGAAACUAAUCUUUACAUGCAGGAAUGUCAGCGGAAAUGCAUGGACAUACAUCAGUGAGGUUUAG
rnacentral:lncRNA from 1 species